UCCCCCACCGACUGCACAACGCGAAGAACCUUACCAGGUCUUGACAUCCCAUUGACCGCACCUUAACCGGUGCUUUCCUUCGGGACAAUGGUGACAGGUGGUGCAUGGUUGUCGUCAGCUCGUGUCGUGAGAUGUUGGGUUAAGUCCCGCAACGAGCGCAACCCCUAUCUUUAGUAGCCAGCAGUUCGGCUGGGCACUCUAGAGAGACUGCCAGGGAUAACCUGGAGGAAGGCGGGGAUGACGUCAAAUCAUCAUGCCCCCUUAUGAUCUGGGCUACACACGUGCUACAAUGGUGACUACAAAGAGAAGCAAAGCUGUGAAGUGGAGCAAAUCUCAAAAAGGUCAUCUCAGUUCGGAUUGUAGUCUGCAACUCGACUACAUGAAGCUGGAAUCGCUAGUAAUCGCAGAUCAGAAUGCUGUGGUGAAUACGUUCCCGGGUCUUGUACACACCG
rnacentral:rRNA from 1 species